GGGUUGUGAGGUUAAGCGACUAAGCGUACACGGUGGAUGCCCUGGCAGUCAGAGGCGAUGAAGGGCGUGCUAAUCUGCGAUAAGCGCCGGUAAGGUGAUAUGAACCGUUAUAACCGGCGAUACCCGAAUGGGGAAACCCAGUGUGAUUCGUCACACUAUCAUUAACUGAAUCCAUAGGUUAAUGAGGCGAACCGGGGGAACUGAAACAUCUAAGUACCCCGAGGAAAAGAAAUCAACCGAGAUUCCCCCAGUAGCGGCGAGCGAACGGGGAGGAGCCCAGAGCCUGAAUCAGCAUGUGUGUUAGUGGAAGCGUCUGGAAAGGUGCGCGAUACAGGGUGACAGCCCCGUACACAAAAGCGCAUGUGCUGUGAGCUCGAUGAGUAGGGCGGGACACGUGGUAUCCUGUCUGAAUAUGGGGGGACCAUCCUCCAAGGCUAAAUACUCCUGACUGACCGAUAGUGAACCAGUACCGUGAGGGAAAGGCGAAAAGAACCCCGGCGAGGGGAGUGAAAAAGAACCUGAAACCGUGUACGUACAAGCAGUGGGAGCACAGGUUUACCUGUGUGACUGCGUACCUUUUGUAUAAUGGGUCAGCGACUUAUAUUCUGUAGCAAGGUUAACCGUAUAGGGGAGCCGGAGGGAAACCGAGUCUUAAUUGGGCGUUAAGUUGCAGGGUAUAGACCCGAAACCCGGUGAUCUAGCCAUGGGCAGGUUGAAGGUUGGGUAACACUAACUGGAGGACCGAACCGACUAAUGUUGAAAAAUUAGCGGAUGACCUGUGGCUGGGGGUGAAAGGCCAAUCAAACCGGGAGAUAGCUGGUUCUCCCCGAAAGCUAUUUAGGUAGCGCCUCGUGAAUUCAUCUCCGGGGGUAGAGCACUGUUUCGGCUAGGGGGCCAUCCCGGCUUACCAACCCGAUGCAAACUGCGAAUACCGGAGAAUGUUAUCACGGGAGACACACGGCGGGUGCUAACGUCCGUCGUGAAGAGGGAAACAACCCAGACCGCCAGCUAAGGUCCCAAAGUCAUGGUUAAGUGGGAAACGAUGUGGGAAGGCCCAGACAGCCAGGAUGUUGGCUUAGAAGCAGCCAUCAUUUAAAGAAAGCGUAAUAGCUCACUGGUCGAGUCGGCCUGCGCGGAAGAUGUAACGGGGCUAAACCAUGCACCGAAGCUGCGGCAGCGAACGUAUCACCCAAGACAACUUUACGGAGUUGACGAUUGACGGAGCGAAGCGACGUCAAAGCGUUCAUUAAAGUCGAGUUGGCUUAGGGAUACGUUCGUUGGGUAGGGGAGCGUUCUGUAAGCCUGUGAAGGUGUGUCGUGAGGCAUGCUGGAGGUAUCAGAAGUGCGAAUGCUGACAUAAGUAACGAUAAAGCGGGUGAAAAGCCCGCUCGCCGGAAGACCAAGGGUUCCUGUCCAACGUUAAUCGGGGCAGGGUGAGUCG
rnacentral:rRNA from 1 species